UCCNGGCCCUACGGGGCGCAGCAGGCGCGAAACCUCCGCAAUGCACGCAAGUGCGACGGGGGAACCCCUAGUGCCACUCUUAACGGGGUGGCUUUUCAGAAGUGUAAAAAGCUUCUGGAAUAAGGGCUGGGCAAGACCGGUGCCAGCCGCCGCGGUAACACCGGCAGCUCAAGUGGUAGCCGCUUUUAUUGGGCCUAAAGCGUCCGUAGCCGGUCUGAUAAGUCUCUGGUGAAAUCCCGCAGCUUAACUGUGGGAAUUGCUGGAGAUACUAUCAUGACUCGAGGUCGGGAGAGGCUGGAGGUACUCCCAGGGUAGGGGUGAAAUCCUGUAAUCCUGGGAGGACCACCUGUGGCGAAGGCGUCCAGCUGGAACGAACCUGACGGUGAGGGACGAAAGCCAGGGGCGCGAACCGGAUUAGAUACCCGGGUAGUCCUGGCCGUAAACGAUGUGGACUUGGUGUUGGGAUGGCUUCGAGCUGCCCCAGUGCCGAAGGGAAGCUGNUAANUCCACCGCCUGNGAAGUACAA
rnacentral:rRNA from 1 species